GCCUAACACAUGCAAGUCGAACGGUAACAGGAAGAAGCUUGCUUCUUUGCUGACGAGUGGCGGACGGGUGAGUAAUGUCUGGGAAACUGCCUGAUGGAGGGGGAUAACUACUGGAAACGGUAGCUAAUACCGCAUAACGUCGCAAGACCAAAGAGGGGGACCUUCGGGCCUCUUGCCAUCGGAUGUGCCCAGAUGGGAUUAGCUAGUAGGUGGGGUAACGGCUCACCUAGGCGACGAUCCCUAGCUGGUCUGAGAGGAUGACCAGCCACACUGGAACUGAGACACGGUCCAGACUCCUACGGGAGGCAGCAGUGGGGAAUAUUGCACAAUGGGCGCAAGCCUGAUGCAGCCAUGCCGCGUGUAUGAAGAAGGCCUUCGGGUUGUAAAGUACUUUCAGCGGGGAGGAAGGGAGUAAAGUUAAUACCUUUGCUCAUUGACGUUACCCGCAGAAGAAGCACCGGCUAACUCCGUGCCAGCAGCCGCGGUAAUACGGAGGGUGCAAGCGUUAAUCGGAAUUACUGGGCGUAAAGCGCACGCAGGCGGUUUGUUAAGUCAGAUGUGAAAUCCCCGGGCUCAACCUGGGAACUGCAUCUGAUACUGGCAAGCUUGAGUCUCGUAG
rnacentral:rRNA from 1 species